rnacentral:rRNA from 1 species
UACGUAGGGUGCGAGCGUUGUCCGGAAUUAUUGGGCGUAAAGGGCUCGUAGGCGGUUUGUCGCGUCGGGAGUGAAAAUCCAGGGCUUAACUCUGGACUGGCUUCCGAUACGGGCAGACUAGAGGUAUGCAGGGGAGAACGGAAUUCCUGGUGUAGCGGUGAAAUGCGCAGAUAUCAGGAGGAACACCGGUGGCGAAGGCGGUUCUCUGGGCAACAACUGACGCUGAGGAGCGAAAGCGUGGGGAGCGAACAGG